CCCGGGAGGCAGCAGUGGGGAAUAUUGCACAAUGGGCGACAGCCUGAUGCAGCAACGCCGCGUGAGUGAUGAAGGCCUUCGGGUCGUACAACUCUGUCCUCAAGGAAGAUAAUGACGGUACUUGAGGAGGAAGCCCCGGCUAACUACGUGCCAGCAGCCGCGGUAAUACGUAGGGGGCUAGCGUUAUCCGGAUUUACUGGGCUUAAAGGGUGCGUAGGUGGUUUCUUAAGUCAGGAGUGAAAGGCUACGGCUUAACCGUAGUAAGCUCUUGAAACUGGGAAACUUGAGUGCAGGAGAGGAAAGUGGAAUUCCGAGUGUAGCGGUGAAAUGCGUAGAUAUUAGGAGGAACACCAGUAGCGAAGGCGGCUUUCUGGACUGUAACUGACACUGAGGCACGAAAGCGUGGGGAGCAAACA
rnacentral:rRNA from 1 species